UGGGGAAUAUUGGACAAUGGGCGCAAGCCUGAUCCAGCCAUGCCGCGUGAGUGAUGAAGGCCCUAGGGUUGUAAAGCUCUUUCAGCGAGGAGGAUAAUGACGUUACUCGCAGAAGAAGCCCCGGCUAACUUCGUGCCAGCAGCCGCGGUAAUACGAAGGGGGCUAGCGUUGUUCGGAAUCACUGGGCGUAAAGCGCACGUAGGCGGACUUUUAAGUCAGGGGUGAAAUCCCGGGGCUCAACCUCGGAACUGCCUUUGAUACCGGAAGUCUGGAGUCCGAGAGAGGUGAGUGGAACUCCGAGUGUAGAGGUGAAAUUCGUAGAUAUUCGGAAGAACACCAGUGGCGAAGGCGGCUCACUGGCUCGGUACUGACGCUGAGGUGCGAAAGCGUGGGGAGCAAAACAGGAUUAGAUACCCUGGUAGUCCACGCCGUAAACGAUGGAAGCUAGCCGUCAGGGUGCAUGCAUCUUGGUGGCGCAGUUAACGCAUUAAGCUUCCCGCCUGGGGAGUACGGUCGCAAGAUUAAAACUCAAAGGAAUUGACGGGGUCAUAGCUGUUUCCU
rnacentral:rRNA from 1 species